rnacentral:rRNA from 1 species
UUUUAGUUUAGUGGCGGACGGGUGAGUAACGCGUGGGUAACCUGCCCUAUACAGGGGGAUAACAGUUGGAAACGACUGUUAAUACCGCAUAAGCGCACAGGAGCGCAUGCUCCGGUGUGAAAAACUCCGGUGGUAUAGGAUGGACCCGCGUCUGAUUAGCUGGUUGGCGGGGUAACGGCCCACCAAGGCGACGAUCAGUAGCCGGCCUGAGAGGGUGAACGGCCACAUUGGGACUGAGACACGGCCCAAACUCCUACGGAAGGCAGCAG